rnacentral:rRNA from 1 species
GAUAAACGCUGGCGGCGCACAUAAGACAUGCAAGUCGAACGAACUUAACCUCUUGCUUGCAAGAGGAGCGGUUAGUGGCGGACUGGUGAGUAACACGUAAGAAAUCUGCCUAUCAGAGGGGAAUAACAGUGAGAAAUCACUGCUAAUACCGCAUAUGCCAUAUGGUUCGCAUGAACCAAGUGGGAAAGAAGCAAUUCGCUGAUAGAUGAGCUUGCGGCUGAUUAGCUAGUUGGUGGGGUAAGGGCCUACCAAGGCAACGAUCAGUAGCCGGACUGAGAGGUUGAACGGCCACAUUGGGACUGAGAUACGGCCCAG